UACAGAGGGUGCAAGCGUUAAUCGGAAUUACUGGGCGUAAAGCGUGCGUAGACGGUUGCGUAAGUCAGAUGUGAAAGCCCCGGGCUCAACCUGGGAAUUGCAUUUGAGACUGCGUAGCUAGGGUGCGGAAGAGGGAAGCGGAAUUUCCGGUGUGAGCGGUGAAAUGCGUAGAUAUCGGAAGGAACACCAGUGGCGAAAGCGGCUUCCUGGUCCAGCACCGACGUCAGGCACGAAAGCGUGGGGAGCAAACAGGG
rnacentral:rRNA from 1 species